rnacentral:lncRNA from 1 species
UUUCAUUCCCACUCUAAAAUCUUGUUGCAGUUAUAGUUUGUAAUGGAAAGAACGUGUUUGUGAUUUUAUCCAAAUCAUUCACAAUGCUACAAGUUCAUUUUCUCUGGAGCAGUUCAUCAACUAAAAGAAAAUCACACACCAAAAACAAAUUUGUCUUCUGUAAGUAAAGUAGCUCUUGCACUUCUUUUUUCUUGCCUACAGAGAUACAUUUUCCCCCAGUGCACACCAGGUCCAAAGGAUGCAAGGUGGUUGAAUUGGACGAGUUGUUAGAAACCUUGGCAAUGUGGUGCUUACCUUACUAGUGGUGGGAGAAACUAUGACAAUACAUAUUUUUGGUGUGAAUGAAUCUGUUGUUUAUGUAUUUGUUUCAUGCCCACUUCUCUCAUCAUAUGGUUCAAAACACCAGCAGACAGGAGUUAUGCAAAUGAUGUAGUGGAGAUUGUUCCCUCAACCAAACAUGUUUAAUGAAGCAAACACAUGGAGUCAAUCUUUCAAAGCAAAUACUGAAAUCUAACACCCGAUGUUAAUAUUAUUUUGUGUAGAUGGAGGGUGAUAGUAGUUGCGGCCGCAUCAUAAUGCCUGACCAGGCUUGCAGAAUGAAGUACAAUUUGUAGUGUGUGACACCAAAUUCGGAUCUAGAAAGGUGUAAUAUGUCACAGUGAGGAGCUCUCUGAUUGCGCGCAUUUGAAUAUCUUAACCUCAUGUGCCUGAUAUCCUACUACAAGCUUGACAUGCAGAAAUAGUAGAACAUCAGAAUAAUUCAUUUACUCAGCAGUUUCCAACAGAGGCUAGUGCAGAAAUUUCAUGUUCACUUUCACAGAUGUUGCACAAGCCUACUUGCAAGCUUGUUCUCGUUCACCUGGACAGCCCUGUCUUUCAGUGUAGGCCCACUUCUGCCACAUUGUGCUGCUCAAGUCCAAUUCUCACAUGAACUGCCUGAUACACCUUUACUUUCAUAUCCAUCACAGUGUCCAAACUAUGGCAGUCAUUUGAUUGCUUGUCAUGCACACCCAAGCUGUUCAACUCCCACACACUCCCACAGCCAUGCAAAUUGGGCUUAUUGGAAACCUCCUAUUUUGUACAACUGUGUCACC